rnacentral:rRNA from 1 species
CCUACGGGUGGCAGCAGUAGGGAAUCUUCCACAAUGGGCGAAAGCCUGACCCAGCAACGCCGCGUGAAGGAAGAAGGCUUUCGGGUUGUAAACUUCUUUUCUCAGGGACGAAGCAAGUGACGGUACCUGAGGAAUAAGCCACGGCUAACUACGUGCCAGCAGCCGCGGUAAUACGUAGGUGGCAAGCGUUAUCCGGAUUUACUGGGUGUAAAGGGCGUGUAGGCGGGACUGCAAGUCAGAUGUGAAAACCACGGGCUCAACCUGUGGCCUGCAUUUGAAACUGUAGUUCUUGAGUACUGGAGAGGCAGACGGAAUUCCUAGUGUAGCGGUGAAAUGCGUAGAUAUUAGGAGGAACACCAGUGGCGAAGGCGGUCUGCUGGACAGUAACUGACGCUGAGGCGCGAAAGCGUGGGGAGCAAACAGGAUUAGAUACCCGAGUAGGC